CAGUAGCCGCGGUAAUACGAAGGGGGCUAGCGUUGUUCGGAAUUACUGGGCGUAAAGCGCGCGUAGGCGGAUAUUUAAGUCAGGGGUGAAAUGCCAGGGCUCAACCUUGGAACUGCCUUUGAUACUGGGUAUCUGGAGUUUGGGAGAGGUGAGUGGAAUUCCGAGUGUAGAGGUGAAAUUCGUAGAUAUUCGGAGGAACACCAGAAGCGAAGGCGGCUCACUGGCCCAAUACUGACGCUGAGGCGCGAAAGCGUGGGGAGCAAACAGGAUUAGAUACCCCAGUAGUCCCUGUCUCUUAUAC
rnacentral:rRNA from 1 species